rnacentral:rRNA from 1 species
GACGAACGUUGGCGGCGUGCUUAAUACAUGCAAGUCAACUGAAGCAGUGGUAGCAAUAUCGCUGUGGAGGUGGCGCACGGGUGAGUAACACGUAGGUAAUCUGCCUUCAGGUCUGGCAUAACUCCGGGAAACCGGGGCUAAUAGCAGAUGAUGCAGCGGCUCGACAUCGAGACAGUUGUUAAAGCUAUGGCGCCUGAAGAUGAGCCUGCGUCUGAUUAGCUAGUUGGCGGGGUAACGGCCCACCAAGGCAACGAUCAGUAGCUGGUCUGAGAGGAUGAACAGGCACACUGGAACGGAGAAGAGGUCCAGACUACGACGGGAGGCAGCAGUAAGGAAUAUUGCUCAAUGGGAGAAAGCCUGAAGCAGCAACGCCGCGGAAGGGACGAAGAGCUUUUGCUUGUAAACCUCUGUAGUGAGAGAAAAAAAUCCAAAUCUGUGGGACAUGAUGGUAGCUCAAAAGUAAGCCCCGGCUAACUACGUG